rnacentral:rRNA from 1 species
GACAGAGGGUGCAAACGUUGUUCGGAAUUACUGGGCGUAAAGCGUGUGUAGGCGGUUUCGUAAGUCGGAUGUGAAAGCCCCGGGCUCAACUCGGGAAGUGCACUCGAUACUGCGGAACUCGAGUAUCGGAGAGGUUGGUGGAAUUCUCGGUGUAGAGGUGAAAUUCGUAGAUAUCGAGAGGAACACCGGUGGCGAAGGCGGCCAACUGGACGAAUACUGACGCUGAGACACGAAAGCGUGGGGAGCAAACAGG